rnacentral:rRNA from 1 species
UGAAUACGAGAUGCUACGGCGUCGAAGCAGUCUAUGUCAUACAUCCAAGAAAAGCUUGCACUGUCAUAAACAAAUGAUGCCUGUACCAUAACCGACACAGGUGGGUAGGUAGAGUAUACUAAGGGGCGCGAGAUAACUCUCUCUAAGGAACUCGGCAAAAUGACUCUGUAACUUCGGGAGAAGGAGUGCCUUAUUUAUAAGGUUGCAAUAACAAGAUCCAAGCAACUGUUUACCAAAAACACAGGUCUCCGCUAAGUCGUAAGACGAUGUAUGGGGGCUGACGCCUGCCCAGUGCCAGAAGGUUAAAGAAGUUGGUUAGCAUCCGCGAAGCUGAUAACUGAAGCCCUGGUGAACGGCGGCCGUAACAAUAACGGUCCUAAGGUAGCGAAAUUCCUUGUCGGGUAAGUUCCGACCCGCACGAAAGGCGUAAUGAUUUGGAUACUGUCUCGGAGAGGGGCUCGGUGAAAUAGACUUGUCUGUGAAGAUGCGGACUACCUGCACCAGGACAGAAAGACCCUAUGAAGCUUUACUGUAACCUGAAAUUGAAAUUGGACUUUACUUGCGCAGUAUAGGUGGGAGGCGUUGAGAAUAUUCUUGCGGGAUUAUUGGAGCCAUCAGUGAGAUACCACUCUUGUAAUGUUAGAUUUCUAACUUUGUAUCAUUAUCUGGUCAAAGAACAGUUUCAGGCGGGCAGUUUGACUGGGGCGGUCGCCUCCUAAACGGUAACGGAGGCGCACAAAGGUUUCCUCUGAACGGGUAGAAAUCGUAUCUAGAGUGUAAAGGCAUAAGGAAGCUUGACUGUGAGACCUACAAGUCGAGCAGGGACGAAAGUCGGUCUUAGUGAUCUGACGGUGCUGAGUGGAAAGGCCGUCACUCAACGGAUAAAAGUUACUCUAGGAUAACAGGCUGAUCUCCCCCAAGAGUUCACAUCGACGGGGAGGUUUGGCACCUCGAUGUCGGCUCAUCGCAUCCUGGGGCGGUAGUACGUCCCAAGGGUUGGGCUGUUCGCCCAUGAAAGCGGUACGCGAGCUGGGUUCAGAACGUCGUGAGACAGUUCGGUCCAUAUCCGGUGUAGGCGUUAGAAUAUUGAGAGGAGCCUUCUUUAGUACGAGAGGACCGAGAAGGACAUACCUCUGGUGUACCAGUUAUCGUGCCAACGGUAAACGCUGGGUAGCUAUGUGUGGAGUGGAUAACCGCUGAAAGCAUCUAAGUGGGAAGCCCACCUCAAGAUAAGUAUUCUC